CAAGUAUUCAGUACUAUUCUUUUUAUUAAAUGGAACACAUCAUAUCUAAUUAAAACGCAGGCUAAUUUUUAACUAUUUUUUAAAUCGUAGAGGACCAAGAAAAAAGGGGGAGGGUAAUUUCAAAAAGUCAUGAUUUUGAAUGAAAAGAAGCAUACGUACUAAUUUUCUUGAUAAAAUGGUAUAUAUUUUUUUACAUUGAAACAUAGCGCAUAAAGUAACUAAAGGCUGUUGAAAAAACAUUUAAAGGUGAGACACAAAAACAUAGAAUCCACGGCAAACCCAAACAUAAGC
rnacentral:lncRNA from 1 species